UGCCCUUUGUACACACCGCCCGUCGCUACUACCGAUUGAAUGGCUCAGUGAGGCGUCCGGACUGGCCCAGAGAGGUGGGCAACUACCACUCAGGGCCGGAAAGUUCUCCAAACUCGGUCAUUUAGAGGAAGUAAAAGUCGUAACAAGGUCUCCGUUGGUGAACCAGCGGAGGGAUCAUUA
rnacentral:rRNA from 1 species